CUCAUCUCUCCCCCUCACAUACUCUCUCUCUGUACCUUUUCUUUCCCCAAGCAGCACACCCACACGCACCAACCCUCUUUCUCUCUCUCUCUCUCUCUCUCUCUCUCUCUCUCUCUCUCUCUCUCUUUCUGAUCUCCCUCGCCUAUUUUGGACGUCUUCACCUCUCUCGUCCCUUUUCCUCCUCUGCAAGUGCAGACACCGAGACCUCUAUCACCACCACCGUAGGUCGACAAAACUGGCGAGUUCCACCUUUUUCACAUUAGGAGAGCCUCAGAGUCACCUUCUCUGUCUCAAAUGAUUGUUCCUUCGAUUUCUAAGUUAUAUACUCGUUUUUAGUGAAGGUUUGGCUUGAAAACACCUCUGGGAGACUUUCCCAGAUUCCGACGAGGAAUGCCGUGACUUCCAGGCCAUUUUUCGACCACGGCUGGACCAAACAUUGGUGCGUUUGUUAGUGACGUUCCCGUCCUCUCUUGUUUGCACAGCUCUUCGACAACGGAGUAAGACUUAGAAUUGGGGCGUACAAUCUCGAUGUCAAGGCACUCCCGCAUCGGUAGCUUCAAGUCAUCUCGGUGUAGGACCCAUUCUUUUGUUCGUACAUUUGUAUAUUAUUCUUUCUUCAAUGUUCUGGUUUAGUUGUAUGCUCUGAACACGUUCCACAAUUGCAUAUUCAUUACAGUUAAA